rnacentral:rRNA from 1 species
CCCAGACUCCUACGGGAGGCAGCAGUGAGGAAUAUUGGUCAAUGGCCGAGAGGCUGAACCAGCCAAGUCGCGUGAGGGAGGACGGCCCUACGGGUUGUAAACCUCUUUUGCCGGGGGACAAACGGCGGCACGCGUGCCGUCCUGAGGGUACCCGGAGAAAAAGCAUCGGCUAACUCCGUGCCAGCAGCCGCGGUAAUACGGAGGAUGCGAGCGUUAUCCGGAUUUAUUGGGUUUAAAGGGUGCGUAGGCGGGACCUUAAGUCAGCGGUAAAAUUGCGGUGCUCAACGCCGUAGAGCCGUUGAAACUGGGGUUCUUGAGUGAGCGAGAAGUAUGCGGAAUGCGUGGUGUAGCGGUGAAAUGCAUAGAUAUCACGCAGAACCCCGAUUGCGAAGGCAGCAUACCGGCGCUCAACUGACGCUGAGGCACGAAAGUGCGGGUAUCGAACAGGAUUAGAUACCCCCGUAGA